AAAGGAAUAGACGGGGGCCCGCACAAGCAGUGGAGUAUGUGGUUUAAUUCGACGCAACGCGAAGAACCUUACCAAGGCUUGACAUCCUGCUAACGAAGCAGAGAUGCAUUAGGUGCCCUUCGGGGAAAGCAGAGACAGGUGGUGCAUGGUUGUCGUCAGCUCGUGUCGUGAGAUGUUGGGUUAAGUCCCGCAACGAGCGCAACCCUUACGGUUAGUUGCUACGCAAGAGCACUCUAGCCGGACUGCCGUUGACAAAACGGAGGAAGGUGGGGACGACGUCAAAUCAUCAUGCCCCUUAAGUCUUGGGCUACACACGUACUACAAUGGCAAUUGAACAACGGGGAGCUAAGCCGCGAGGUGGAGCAAAUCCCAAAAAAUUGCCUCAGUUCAGAUUGCAGGCUGCAACCCGCCUGCAUGAAGUCGGAAUUGCUAGUAAUCGCGGAUCAGCAUGCCGCGGUGAAUACGUUCCCGGGCCUUGUACACACCGCCCGU
rnacentral:rRNA from 1 species